UCGAGCGGCGCUGCGAUUGGUCAGAUUGGCAGCAGUCCCGGAGCGGGUUGAGCGAUUCUCUUUGGUCUCAAAAGCUUGAAGUUCGUUUAGUUUGUCCACUUUUUCGCAAUUUAACGGCUUAUUUAUCUGGGUAAUUUAGAGCAGGGACAUCAGGUGAAGAAGCGCUGUUAUCUCAAACCUCUAACGUCAUUUUUAAUCAACUGUUGCAGGAUAUUUAUCUACUGUUGUGAAGGUGGGAGCCUCGUUAGCUUAGCAGGCUAACUCUCCAUUGGAAUCACAGCUAGUUAGCGCUAGCUUAGCUGACAGCCACCAGGAGCGACUGCAACAGCACAGAGAGGCCAGCAUGAACUGUCCCCCCAUGAAGCGCCUCCGAGGCCCGAACCAGGAUGGGGUGACAGCAGUGGCUUUUGAUGACCCUUUUGGAGAUGACGACAUCUUCACUCAGGAUGUCUUGGAUGAAAUCGACAUCAUUGCCUCGCAGGCCGUCACCUCAGCUGCUCCAGGGGCGCAGAUGGCGUCUAAAUCCAGUACCAAACCGACGGAGGCAGCCCGCGGGUCGACCCGGACGUUUUCUGCAGUGCAGAGCAAACCUCUGAGCAGAACCACAGCCAAUCAGAGCAGAGAGAACUCAGUUGAGUUCAACAGAUUGAACGCCGGGAUACCAAGCAGGGAGCCUCUGGGCAACAGACAGCAGCAGUCUGGGUCAGACAGAGAAGACUCCUACAGUCUGCUGCAGGCUCAGCAUGCAGAGCUGAAGAGGAAGCUGAAGGAGGUGGAGGAGGAGAUUUUCCUCAAGAACGGAGAGAUCCAGGUCCUGAGAGACUCUUUGAAAGCAGCUCAGCAGGAGAAGGAGGCUCAGAGACAGAACCAGAUGCUGCUGGACACUCAGAAGCUGAAGGAACACAGCGACAGGGAGAAGGAGCUCAACAGGAAGGUUCAAUCUCUGCAGUCUGAGCUGCAGUUUAAAGAAGCAGAGAUUAACGAAAUGAAGACCAAACUGCACAGUUCAGAGAGAAACAAAGCAACGUCCUCACCACUUCCCAGAAACAGCCCUAAAGUACCGAUGAAUCCUGGGAGCAGCUCGCCUUCUCCGACAGGAAACGGUUUCAUCACCAAGGAAAUGUUUGGGGCUCAAAUAUCGUCCAGAACCACACCGUUGAAGACACGGAGACAUGCAGACAGAACCACGUCCAGCAGCAGAUCUGCUGACAGACCAGAAGUGUCUCGUCCAGACCACUUUAUGUCCGUCAUACCUGCUCAUCGACAGCACAGAGGUGGCGUCCUGCUGGGGUUGUUACUGCAGCAGCCUUUAUCUCCCAGCAGCCUCGGCCUCUCUCACCUGCUGUCAGUGACUGAAGCCCACCUGACAUCCAGUCGGCUGUCUGCAGGUUUUCUGCUCGACUCUGGAGCUGCCGUCGGUGUGGGAGUCUCUCCCACCGUGACUCUGACUCCGGUCCAGAGUCUGGCUGUAACUGGACUCAACAUGCUGAGUCAGAACCAAGCAUCAGCUGCAGCCGACAGCAGAAACAGGUGUCCUGGAGCCGUCCUCCUCCUCCCUCUGCUGGACCUCCACCUCUCUCGGCUCUGUCAGGUUCUGGACUCUCUCGGCUCCACCGGCAGCAGCAGCCGGUCGGACUUUGCAGCCUCCAGCUCAGUCCCAGCAGGCCGAGCUGCUCCUGCCGGUCCUGGGAGGCCUGAGGACUCUGGUUUUUCUGGUUUUAGUGUGGAGGAUGCUGGUCUGGCUGCUCUGAGGCUCCUCUAUCUCCUGCUGGCUCACAGCGAUGAGGUGGUGGAAGCCGUGCUGUCAAAGGAGAACCAGAACAGAGUUACAGACGACGAGACCGAACGCCCCGCUGCGACUCUCUGCUCCCAGAAUGCUUUGCUCCAGUCGCUGCUGCGGUUGUGUGACGUGGGAUUCGGUGUCGGCGGCUCACAGAGGCAGCAGCUCAACAUCGGUGCCAUGAAGACGCUGUGUGUCCUGAUGGAGAGGACGCCACGCACACACAGCGACAGGUUGGGGUCUGUGCUGCAGGUGAUUUAUACGAGUGUUUCAGCAGACAGCCGACUACAGACAGUUUCAGAGUGUUUGUCCGUCCUCACGUCGAUGUGUGACCAUCAGACGUUGGCAGAGCAGCUCUGCUCUCAGCACGAUCCUUGUGUUUUCCUGAAAUUAUUCCAGUUUAUCAGAAGCAGACCAGACAACCAGGCAGCACACACAGACUGGAUCUUACUGGACCUGAAGGUGGUUCGUUUGUUGAGCAGAUUGUUGACUCAGGGAGCUCAGAGUCUGAAGAGCAGCUGUCAGUGUUAUACUGAGCUGGUUCAGACGGUGGUGAUCGCCUUCCAUCGUCAGUGGUUGGAUCUUCGUGGUUCUCAGGAGCUGACGGACUCAACAGAUGUGGCUCCGCCCCUGCAGCGGUGGUGGUCCGGCCCAGCGGCGGCGCUGCUCAGAGAGUGUCUGCUGCUGCUGCACUGGCUGCUGCUACACCACGGCAGCUUCUCAGAGAGCUGCAGACCGCUGCUGCACAUGUAUGACCAGGUGAUCCCUGCAGUCCGAGACACGCUGAGGAAGAUCCCCGGGCUGAGCGAGAGCGAAGAGCUGGCGUUGGAGGAAAUCUGCCGCUCGGAGGGCGACGACGCCGACGACAUGGAUACCGGCUCCUGAUUGGCCGACUCCACAGAUGGACGUUAAGACGGACUUUAAUCCUGCAGGAAUCUUCUCCUGCUGCUGCUGCUGCUCAUUGAACCAGGUCAGCUUCAUUAUGCAGACUUCCUGUGUGACCUCUGACCUCUGGAUCUGAUUGGACGGACUCCAGGGCAGCAGAAUGAAAGGCGAUGUUCAGCCUCAGUAAUCCCCCACCGCACACGCUCAGAGGUCACCAGGGAUGAUGCAAAACUGAGAUAAGAAGACACUUAAAUACUGUAUGUGUGCGUGCGUGUGUGUGUGUGUGUGUGUGUGUGUGUGUGUGUGUGCACACAUCCCUAUAAACACACACAUGCUGAGGCUGGCCUGGGAUUGUCUCUGUGAUGAAACCAGCAGUAAUGUCUGCUGUUGGCAUGACGACUCCAUCCUCUGUGACAUGUGUGUGUGUGUGUGUGUGUGUGUGUGUGUGUGUGUUUCACAGAGUGUGUGUGACCUUUGACCUCCCAUGUGUGUGUCUGCAGUUAAAAAAAGCAUGUUGCGAAGGUUCAAAUCUCAAAAUUUUACGAUAAUGAAAUGAGCAGCAAACUUUCUGUUACUCAAUUCACAGCUCAGUACAGUGACUAGAUAAAACUUUAGCAGUGUUAGUACAAAAUAAUAGAUUACCGUUAAAGCUGCAAUGAUUUGUUCAUUAAUUAUGAAGUAUUUUGAUAGUUUAUUAACUGUUUUCACUCAUUUUUAACCAUCCAGCAAAUUAAAAAGGCACAUUAUCUUUUAUAAAAUUGCCAAAAUUAAGAUUACUGCUGACUUUCAACACACUAAAUUGCUUUAUUCUUCCUUAAAAUUGUUUUAUACAGUAGUGCACCAAAGCAGAAUAUCAAACACCUCGUAUGUGAAACAGUAAAACUGAUUCUGAUUCAAUAAAACAGGAAGAAUUGUUGGGUUUUCAGCUUUCCGGUGGUCCUUGAACGUCUCAUGUCCAACAUACACCUGCAUCAGGGCAACAUUUGAGCUUUAAAUCCUGAUAAAUGUUUUCUUUUACCUGAUCAGACAAACUGAAAUCAUGCUUUAAUUUAAGAUGAAAUCAUCUUUUAUUUUAAAUUGAACAUUCUUUUUUUAAAUGAAAAUGAUGAUUAUUUGUAUUUAUUUUAUAUAUUUAAGAUAGGGCUGCACAGUGUCGUAGUGGUUAGCACUUUCGCCUUGCAGCAAGAAGAUCUCGCCCUGGGCCUGGGAUCUUUCUGCAUGGAGUUUGCAUGUUCUCCCUGUGAAUGUGUGGGUUUUCUCUGGGCACUCCGGCUUCCUCCCACAGUCCAAAAAUAUGCCGAGGUUAAUUGAUUACUCUAAAUUGUCCGUAGGUGUGAAUGUGAGUGUGAUUGUUUGUCUGUAUAUGUAGCCCUGAGACAGACUGGUGACCUGUCCAGGGUGUCUCCUGCCUUCGUCUGAGUCAGCUGGGAUAGACUCCAACACCGCCCGCAACCCUAGUGAGGAUAAAAUGGUGUAUAGAGAAUGGAUGGAUAUUUAAGAUAUCAUUUAUUAUUUACAGUUAGAAGCUUUAGUGUUGCUUUACACAAAUCAUGUAAAUUCAGUUUAUUUGUCGAAACUUUAUAAUGCUUUUGUGUACUUCAGAAAUACGGAUAUAUAAUAUAUUAAACAUGCAACAAAAAUGGAAAAAAUAGCAGUUUU